rnacentral:tRNA from 1 species
GGGGCGGUAGCCAAGUGGUAAGGCGUGAGUUCGCAAAGCUCUUAUCGGUCGUUCGAAUCGACCCCGCCCCU